CAGAUGACACAUCUUGGUGGCUGCCAAGAGACCAAUGUCCCCUUCACAGUAGAGAUGAACCACUGGCUUCAUGUCCAUCUCCUCUGAAACUCCAGAUCACCAGCUAACCCCCCCAUCUUAUUUCCGGCAGAUUUUAAGGGGUGCUGGGUCACCCACCAGCCACUCUCUGCUGCCUUAGUCCUGAAUCAACUUCAUAUGCAGCACUGGCGGGAGGCAGCCUCCCCAAACUCCAGCCCCAGGAAGACACAAAUCACUAAAGCAUACAACUGAGCCUCAAGCCACCAAGUGCCAUGCUGUAUAACCAGAGAGUGUGUGUGUGAACCCGAUCAGAGCUGAAAGCUCACCCUCUCUGCUGAGAAAAACUCGAGCUGAUGAAUGUUUCCCACGCUUUGACUUUGUGCAGCCACAGCCCCAUCUCCAGCUCCUGGUGGACAGGCCUAGUGGACUGUGAAGGUGCUGUUCCUGUUCUGAGGAUGGAGGAGCAAACUGAAGUUGGUCAUUACAACAGCAGUUUGUGAAGUCUACACAUGUGUCUUAAAUGCCUACAUGGUGCUGGGAACCGUGCCAGGAUCCAGGGACACAGCAGCGGGAAGACGAACAAUUCUUUGCCGUCUGGAAUCUCAGAGUUUCUCCAGGAAACAGUCACUCUGAGGAGAUUGUCCUGACAUUGCAGUCAUUUAGAUGUCCCCCUACACACAUACACACACACACACACACACACACACACACACACACACACACACACACUUGCAUUUUUCAUGAGGGCGCCUUGCACCCCGUGCACUGCCAGUUUCUGUUUGAUCUAAGUCCCACUCUUCAAAAGCUUAAAUCGACUUCCUUCUAAGGGAAAUGUUAUCUCACCCACUAGGUUCUCUAGGUAGAAUUUUUCAACUCAUUCAAAUAAAUGUGUAAUUAUUAAAAUUCAAACUGAUUAAAUGCAAAAAAAAAAAAAAAGAAAGAAAAAAGAAAAGAGCCCAGGUGUUCUAUGCCUCGCAUGCUGGGAAUGAUUGCUGUAAAUGUGAGAAAUGUUGUAAAAAAAAAAAAAGACAUUCGUAAAGCGGAAAAAUUGCCCUGGGAAUAUGAAAAGAGGGGUUGAUUCUGGCUGAGUUUAUAAGGGAGGCCUUGCAGAAAACCUUCCUGGAGAGAAAUGUCAACAUCCCUUUUGACAUUUUAUUUUCUGUUGUGUUCAAAACAGACUCUCCAAAGAUGUCCACAUCCAAAUUACUAGAGCUUGGUUACAGUGA